UACGUAGGGUGCGAGCGUUAAUCGGAAUUACUGGGCGUAAAGCGUGCGCAGGCGGUGCUGUAAGACCGAUGUGAAAUCCCCGGGCUUAACCUGGGAACUGCGUUGGUGACUGCAGCGCUGGAGUAUGGCAGAGGGGGGUGGAAUUCCACGUGUAGCAGUGAAAUGCGUAGAGAUGUGGAGGAACACCGAUGGCGAAGGCAGCCCCCUGGGCCAAUACUGACGCUCAUGCACGAAAGCGUGGGGAGCAAACAGG
rnacentral:rRNA from 1 species